CUCAAUUGUUUCCUCCAUUAUAUUUCAAAUCCGAAAAGAGUCUUUCUUUUCGCUCUCCUCCUCUUUCAGCCUACCACCAUCACCACCUCUACCACCAUCUUCGUCGUCUUCGCCACCAUCUCCGCACCAACCACCUCAAUCAAUCUACCCCUUUGAUGAUUUCGAUUUCCAGCGUGUUUAAGAUCUUUACAUUAAUGGUGCAUUUCAAACAGAACUUGUUAAAGUCUUUUGUAUUUGAUUUCUAACAGAUCGAAAUUGGCGAGGUACGUAUCAACGUUGAAGAACAAAAGAGAAAUCUUCUUUGCAUCUUCAUAAGAUGAGACGCAGAAAUUAAAAGUUCAUCUUCUUAAAUUAUCUAAGAUUUAGGAUAUAGGUCGAUCUGAUUUUAGAUUUCAAUUUCACGUAAAAAAAAUUUUUUACAGAAUUUAUCAAUAAGUGGAUCUGAAGAUUCAGUCAUCAUAAAAAAUUAAAAGAUACUUCGAUCUUGGUUUUGAUUUUUUUGGUGUUGACUCAACAUGAUUUCUUCGUUUAUUUUGAUUUUAAUUGAGCUCUUGAUUAUAAUUCAUUUCUGAAACAAGCAAAUGAUAGUUAGUUUGUACUAGUGAGUUUGGUGGUGCUGAUGGUGAUAGAAGCAUUGGGUAUUGUUAUUGUUGUUGUUGUUGUUAUGGUGGUGGUGGUGGAAGGUGUUGUUACAACGGUGGUGGUGGAUGUUUGUUGCAUUGCAGGUGAUGGUGGUGGUUUUUAUUGUAGUAGUGAGGGUGGUGGCGUAUUUUUUAAGGUACUGCCUCUCUUCAUAUUGGUGGCUUUUGUUGGGAUGUUGGAAUCAACAAUGGAUAUUGACUUAUUUUGCAACUAUUUUAGCUUCACGAGCAUAUAUGGGAACUACUACAUUGGGGAUUAUGCAUGUAUCAGGUUCUGAAAUCACCAACAAUGCAUGAUAUUAAUAAUUUAUGGGAUCAACUCCUACUGUUGAUAUCAUUUUUAUGAGAUCAACUAUUAUUGGGAUUCAACAAAAGGGAUCCACUCCUGUUGUUUACUCCAUUUUUAUGGGAUCAACUACUGUUGUUGACAACAUUUCCUUGGAUUAGUAUAAUUAUGCCUGUAGUUUAAAUGCUUUGAUUUUUAUAGAUGUAAAUUUUUCAAAAUGUUGAGUUUGUGGUGCAAUGGUAGCAUGACUGAUUCCAAGUCAGACGAUGGAUGUUCGACUCACGCCAAAUUCACUCAUUCAUAUAUGUCAUCUUGUAUCAAACUUUGGUUGUUGCAGUCCAUAGAUGGUUAUUCCAGAGGUUAUAUUUUGCAAUUGUCAGAUAACGAUUUGGAUUUGAGAUUUUUUGAUUCACUGCUCUAGAACGAAAGUGCUUAACGAUUAGGUUUCAUACUUUUUGGAUGUUUCUUUCUUUUUUAUAUGCUUUUUUGGUUUGGAGUUGUUUGUUAUGUUUUGUAACGACAUACAUUCUGGUUUGUUUUUAUGAAUUUUAUUUUUGUGUUU